rnacentral:rRNA from 1 species
CUGGCGGCGUGCUUCAUACAUGCAAGUCGAACGAGAAGCUGACUUCGGUCAGUGGAAAGUGGCGGACGGGUGAGUAAUAUGUAGAGAAUCUGCCCUUGAGUGGGGGACAACAGAGGGAAACUUCUGCUAAUACCCCAUAUGAGCUAACGUUGAAAUAGUUAUCUUGAAAACUCCGGUGCUCAAGGAUGAGUCUGCAUCUGAUUAGCUAGUUGGCGGUGUAAUGGACCACCAAGGCGACGAUCAGUAGCUGGUUUGAGAGGAUGAUCAGCCACAAUGGGACUGAGACACGGCCCAUACUCCUACGGGAGGCAGCAGUAGGGAAUUUUGCGCAAUGGGCGAAAGCCUGAACCGCAGCAACGCCGCGUGAACGAUUUAAGCCCUUCGGGGUGUAAAGUUCUGUCAGUAGGGACGAAUUUUGACGGUACCUACAGAGGAAGCACCGGCUAACUCCGUGCCAGCAGCUGC